rnacentral:piRNA from 1 species
UAUUUGCGGUGUGGUCGUACUUUGCC